ACGGAAGGCAGCAGUGGGGAAUAUUGCACAAUGGGGGAAACCCUGAUGCAGCGACGCCGCGUGAGUGAAGAAGUAUUUCGGUAUGUAAAGCUCUAUCAGCAGGAAAGAAAAUGACGGUACCUGACUAAGAAGCCCCGGCUAACUACGUGCCAGCAGCCGCGGUAAUACGUAGGGGGCAAGCGUUAUCCGGAUUUACUGGGUGUAAGGGGAGCGUAGACGGCUUUGCAAGUCUGAAGUGAAAGCCCGGGGCUCAACCCCGGAACUGCUUUGGAAACUGUAGAGCUAGAGUGCAGGAGAGGUAAGUGGAAUUCCUAGUGUAGCGGUGAAAUGCGUAGAUAUUAGGAGGAACACCAGUGGCGAAGGCGGCUUACUGGACUGUAACUGACGUUGAGGCUCGAAGGCGUGGGGAGCAAACAGGAUUAGAUACCCUGGUA
rnacentral:rRNA from 3 species